UACAGAGGUCUCAAGCGUUGUUCGGAUUCAUUGGGCGUAAAGGGUGCGUAGGCGGCGCGGUAAGUCGGGUGUGAAAUCUUGGAGCUUAACUCCGAAACUGCAUUCGAUACUGCCGUGCUUGAGGACUGGAGAGGAGACUGGAAUUUACGGUGUAGCGGUGAAAUGCGUAGAUAUCGUAAGGAAGACCAGUGGCGAAGGCGGGUCUCUGGACAGUUCCUGACGCUGAGGCACGAAAGCGUGGGUAGCAAACAGG
rnacentral:rRNA from 1 species